rnacentral:lncRNA from 12 species
UUUCCUCUUAAAUUCCAGUCACCAGAGAUGGUCAAAAUGGCAAAACAUCAGUCCUUCAAGUCACCACCCCAGUUUUGCUUAAAUCUGUCGGAAGUGGGCACAGGAAAUCAGAGUUGGCGGUUUUCCCGCCUGUUAUAAAAAGCCGGAAGCCCAUCAUGAAUGAAAGCACACAACACUACAUUUGCCAUCUGCACAGCUUCCAAACCUCUUGUAUUUUAUAGGAGUAGGCUGCCAAAACCGCAGCAUGCCAAAACCAGAAUAAAACCCCCAAUCUGAAAGAGAGAAUAUGGCAAAUAAUAAAACCAUCCAGACAGCAGAGAAGUAAAAUUGCAGAAAAUCAGGCUAACAUAGCAAAACUGUCAGGCAGAGUGGAGAGAGCUUAGGAGAUGGUGUACAAAGGAAGAUUUAGAGGAAAACCGAAGGCAGAGAAUAAUGCAAACCAUUGUUCAGUUGAAAGGUUUUCCGAAGCGAGUGUGCUUGCUGAUGGAAGGGCAGCAGUCUACCAGUGUAGCUCUGAUUCUCUUUGCUACCCAAGACAAAACUUCAAGAGAUGAUGUGUCUAAAAUGAGGACCUAGGCUGGAUGCUUUAGUAUUACCAGUGAUGAUACUUAGUAUCCCAGCAAAACAGCUCUCAGACUCUGAGGAUUAAGGUACAAAAUGAACAUAAGAUAUGUGAAGCUAGGGACAAGGGCAAGGGGCAAGAUUAGAUUAUUUAAAAGAUAAGCACUCUCUAGCCCAGAAAUGAGAUUCAGUAAUAGAGUUUGCCUCUGUUCUAAUGAGUGACCACAUUACCAACCAAAGAAGGAAUUUUUUUUUUUCCAAAGAAAGAAUUAAUGCACAAAGAGGGA